GAUGAACGCUGGCGGCGUGCCUAAUACAUGCAAGUCGAGCGAACAGACGAGGAGCUUGCUCCUCUGACGUUAGCGGCGGACGGGUGAGUAACACGUGGAUAACCUACCUAUAAGACUGGGAUAACUUCGGGAAACCGGAGCUAAUACCGGAUAAUAUAUUGAACCGCAUGGUUCAAUAGUGAAAGACGGUUUUGCUGUCACUUAUAGAUGGAUCCGCGCCGCAUUAGCUAGUUGGUAAGGUAACGGCUUACCAAGGCAACGAUGCGUAGCCGACCUGAGAGGGUGAUCGGCCACACUGGAACGGAGAAACGGUCCAGACUCCUACGGGAGGCAGCAGUAGGGAAUCUUCCGCAAUGGGCGAAAGCCUGACGGAGCAACGCCGCGUGAGUGAUGAAGGUCUUCGGAUCGUAAAACUCUGUUAUUAGGGAAGAACAAAUGUGUAAGUAACUAUGCACGUCUUGACGGUACCUAAUCAGAAAGCCACGGCUAACUACGUG
rnacentral:rRNA from 1 species